UUUCCCCGAAAAUAAGACAUCCCCAUAAAAUAAGACCUAGUACAGGUUUGGGGGAAUUGCCAAAUAUAAGACCUCCCCCGAAAAUAAGACCUAGGAGGGAGCCGCAGCCGCUGCCGCUGGGGCUCCUUUCUCCUUCCUCGGCUGGUGCUGUGUGAAAGCGUCGCUCAUGCUUUCCCCUCUCCCUUCCCUUGCUUCCCUCUUUGGUCAGCACUCGCUCAAGAGGGGGAAGGAAAAAGCGAGAGAAGCAGUUUUUCCUUAAGCUUCCUGUCCGGUGUUGUGUGAAUGUGAAAGAGACGAGGCUGCUUGAGAUUGUCCCUUCCCCCUUUGGCCGGCACUCGCUCAAGAGAGGGAAGGAAAAAGCGAGAGAAGCAGCUUCUCCUUAAGCUGUGUGCAUGAGAUCCUUUUCUCCUGCCUUUCUCUUUCCCUUUCGCCAGGCAUGCACUCUUCCUGCCUUCUCAUUUUCCCACCUCCUCACCUUCCACGUGGCUGCCUUUCCUGCCUCCUUCCUCACUGGAUGUGUGCCAGAUAGUGUUUGAGAACCAGGUCUGAAAUCAGAGAUUGAAGGCCUAACAGGACUGAAAUGUUCCGCAACUGACUUAAUAAUAGCAAUCAUUGAACAAAAAAAGCUACAAACCAGUUGUUCCAUUCAACCAGCUCAGGAAUACUGAACAUUUACCUCUCUGUGAUCUAUUUUGGAAAAGUCCAUUCCAUUUACUUCAACGAUCUGGUCACCAACCUAAAACAAGGCAAGCAAACAAAGCAUUUGAAAUGGUAAUAUAUGUCUUAGGUGGGCUACAGUUCCCAGUUUUGAAAUACUUCAUGAAAUUAGACCACUUUAGAACAAUUUAUUUGCAAGAAAGGCAGUAUUUAUGGUAUAGAAUAUCCUUAAACUUUGGUGAGGCAUUCUUGAUUUCAAUUCAUCUAUCAUUAGAUGAUAGGCAUUAAAAGACAUUUCAAAAUAAAAACUGUAAUGUUUACAUAUAUUUUAU